rnacentral:rRNA from 1 species
GUCCAGACUCCUACGGGAGGCAGCAGUGAGGAAUAUUGGUCAAUGGGCGGGAGCCUGAACCAGCCAAGUCGCGUGAGGGAAGACGGUCCUAUGGAUUGUAAACCUCUUUAGGCGGGGAGCAAUGCCGGGCACGUGUGCCCGGAGGGAGAGUACCCGCAGAAUAAGCAUCGGCUAACUCCGUGCCAGCAGCCGCGGUAAUACGGAGGAUGCGAGCGUUAUCCGGAUUUAUUGGGUUUAAAGGGUGCGUAGGCGGAUUUGUAAGUCAGCGGUAAAAAUGCGGUGCUCAACGCCGUAUCGCCGUUGAAACUGCAGGUCUUGAGUGAGCGAGAAGUAUGCGGAAUGCGUGGUGUAGCGGUGAAAUGCAUAGAUAUCACGCAGAACUCCGAUUGCGAAGGCAGCAUACCGGCGCUCAACUGACGCUGAGGCACGAAAGCGUGGGGAUCGAACAGGAUUAGAUACCCCAGUAAUA